rnacentral:rRNA from 1 species
UACAGAGGUCCCAAGCGUUGUUCGGAUUCACUGGGCGUAAAGGGCGCGUAGGUGGUGAGGUAAGUCGGAUGUGAAAUCUCCGGGCUCAACCCGGAAACUGCAUUGGAAACUACCUUGCUUGAGGAUUUGAGGGGGGAUUGGAAUACUUGGUGUAGCAGUGAAAUGCGUAGAUAUCAAGUGGAACACCAGUGGCGAAGGCGAAUCCCUGGAAAAUACCUGACACUGAGGCACGAAAGCUAGGGGAGCAAACAGG